AUUAGAGCAACUCCAGUGGAGGAAUUAAAUGGGGAAUUAAAUGGAAUAACUUCUAUUUUGAUGCUCCAAAACAUAAAUUUUCAUCUCCAAUGGGGGAAUUAAAUUGGUAGUUAUUUUGAUAUUCAACUUCCCGAGAUGCAAAAAUGCAUCCUGGAAAAAGAGGUAUCAAAACAUUAACUACCCAACAAACCAAUUAAAAAUUGACACGUGUCAAUAUUAAAUAUAUUUAUGCUUAUAUUUAAAAUUAGAUGAUUCAUUUAAUGCUUGCGGUUGGAGUAAAUGAGUAUCAAAAUAAUAAAACGAGUAUCAAAUUAAUAUUUGAUGAUCGAUUUUGAUACUUUAC
rnacentral:lncRNA from 1 species